rnacentral:rRNA from 1 species
CAGGGCUUGACAUGCAUUUGCACCAGUCGUAAUGGACUGUCUCUUCGGAGCGGAUGCACAGGUGCUGCAUGGCUGUCGUCAGCUCGUGUCGUGAGAUGUUGGGUUAAGUCCCGCAACGAGCGCAACUCCUGCGGUUAGUUGAAUAGUCUAGCCGGACUGCCACGAUCAACGUGGAGGAAGGCGGGGAUGACGUCAAGUCAGCACGGCCCUUACGCCUUGGGCGACACACACGCUACAAUGGUCGGUCCAAAGAGUUGCGAACCCGCGAGGGGGAGCCAAUCUCGUCAAAGCCGGCCUCAGUUCAGAUUGGAGGCUGAAACCCGCCUCCAUGAAGUCGGAGUUGCUAGUAACCGUGAGUCAGCACAUCACGGUGAAUACGUUCCC